UAAAUACUCCCUCCGUCUGGAAAUACUUGUCAUCAAAAUGAACAAAAGCGGAUGUAUCUAGACGUAUUUUAGUUUUAGAUACAUCCCUUUUUAUUCAUUUUGAUGACAAGUAUUUUCGGACGGAGGGAGUAUAAG
rnacentral:pre_miRNA from 1 species